CCUGGCUUCACAAAAAUUGCUCUGGCAUAAGCACCAAACUUAUAACAAAGGCAGCGCCGACCGUUGGCUGGCAUGUUUGCUUUUCAAACCACCGAAUUUGCAGCGAUCCCUCCCUUCGAUUUUGCUUUGCCGUCGCGCAAUUUAUACCAUAAAGGAAACAGCAAUUCUUCACUCUUCAGUGUGUUGUCCCCCAAAGUUCAACUAUGCCCAAAGAUCUCCCAGGAUUUUAUUAUGACGCAGAGAAGAAUAGGUACUUUCCGUACAAAGGGCCUGUUCCGGGUUCUUCUCUUAGACCUCUUUCAAUACCGUCGCCCUCACACCCCAAACAGGAUGAUGGCUUAUAUCAAAGCAUAAGAAUAAGACAGCAAGAGCUGCUUCAGGCUCGGGAGUUGUUUGGUAAUGUGAUAUCUUCCCGCAAAAGGAAAUUGAGCUUUCGAGCUGAAUACGAAAAGAGACAUGCAUCGCAACCUUCAAUAUGGAAAUAUAGAGGGACCAAAAAGAUGGCCAAUAUUGCAUUGGAACAUGUGGUUGCUGACAUAACCACGCGACAUGGUUUAGAGGAAAGAGAUAUAUUGUUGAGUGGUGGUGUGAAUGGGUUACUGUGUCUCUUUCAAGUUGGAAAGACUCGGCAAGAAGUAGACCCAAUGCAAAACUACAAGGUAGAUCAUGUAUGGCCACUCAAUGUACAUCAAAAACCCAGGGAAAAGAAGUUAUUAAGAGAACUCGGGAGUUCUUAUGGAGCGACGACAUAUAUGGCAUCUGAUGUAUCUUGUAUAAAGGUGUCGAGGAAGAGUCCUCUACCAGCUAAUGAUGCCAUGUCAAAUUAUUUUUUGAUAACAACGCUGGGGUCUGACAGUGCUCCUGGAUCUGUCUACCUUUUGGACUUCACCAAACCACUUGAUUUUGACGCUAGUGUUCCCAUAGCUAGGGAUCGGUUUCAUGAGGUUGCUGCAUUUAAACAGACACUUUGGACAGCCGACUGCGACCCUGAAGGGAAGCAUGCUGCGAUUGGAACAAAUAGAGGAGUUGUGCUGCUCAAUAUGGAAACUAGAGUAUCGUCAUGGGUGCUUCAUUCUAAAAGUGAUGUGUUGUCUGUGCAGCUUGAUCAGUCUGGGACUUCCAUAAUUUGUGGGCUGAGAAAUGGAGCAAUCAUGACUAUUGAUACUCGCCAAAGACAAAUAAAAAGGGGCGGGCAUAGCUCUUCAGCAGUAUCAAUGCCUUCCUCUAUUUGCUGUUUGGCAUCACUUAAGCUUUGGGAUCAGUACUUCGUGGCUAGCUCUAUGGAUGGAUCGAUCAAGCUCUAUGAUCAUCGUCUGACCCAGAGAGGCCCAGUUCAAUCUUACGAAGGCAAUGUAAAUUCUCAUACUCGAAUAGAAAUUGGAAUUGACCCAUCAGAGAAAGUUGUCAUGUCAGUUGUCAGGUGGAGAGGACUUCUAUAUUCGUCUCUGGAAUAUCAAGUCUGGUGAACUGCUCUUCAAGGAUAGAUUUAUGAAUUCAAUUCCCUCAGCUGUGUGCUGGCCAAGGGUUGGAGGGCUUUUGGAAUUGACAAAAGAUGGCCAAGAUCACAGAUGUUACUGGCAGGACCAUAGUUUCGGUGCAUGGCUUGGUUCAUACGAGGGGGUCUUCUAUAUGGACUGGCUAUGAUAAUAAGUGCAAUUUUGUUUUCUCUUCAACAAAUGCUGCAAAGUGGUCUAUUUGGUGGACACAAUACGUUGACAUCUGCUAUCCGAGUGAGCUUGCUGUUUCACCAUCCCUGCAGCACCGCAGGUGGAGGAAUGGAUGGGAUAGGAUAGUUGGAUUUUCGUCACCUGUAUUGUUAAAUAUAUGAAAUAGUAGAUGCAUUCAGGAAUUUACACUAGACUUGCUAUAUUCACUGAAAGAUGGUUGCAUUAAAAUCUCUGUAUGCAUAAUCUGUUUUGUUUUGGUAA